rnacentral:rRNA from 1 species
CCGGAGGAAAAGAAACCAACAGGGAUUGCCUUAGUAGCGGCGAGUGAAGCGGCAAAAGCUCAAAUUUGAAAUCUGGCUCUUUCAGAGUCCGAGUUGUAAUUUGAAGAAGGUAUCUUUGGGUCUGGCUCUUGUCUAUGUUUCUUGGAACAGAACGUCACAGAGGGUGAGAAUCCCGUGCGAUGAGAUGAUCCAGGCCUAUGUAAAGUUCCUUCGAAGAGUCGAGUUGUUUGGGAAUGCAGCUCUAAGUGGGUGGUAAAUUCCAUCUAAAGCUAAAUAUUGGCGAGAGACCGAUAGCGAACAAGUACAGUGAUGGAAAGAUGAAAAGAACUUUGAAAAGAGAGUGAAAAAGUACGUGAAAUUGUUGAAAGGGAAGGGCUUGAGAUCAGACUUGGUAUUUUGUAUGUUACUUCUUCGGGGGUGGCCUCUACAGUUUAUCGGGCCAGCAUCAGUUUGGGCGGUAGGAGAAUUGCGUUGGAAUGUGGCACGGCUUCGGUUGUGUGUUAUAGCCUUCGUCGAUACUGCCAGCCUAGACUGAGGACUGCGGUUUAUACCUAGGAUGUUGGCAUAAUGAUCUUAAGUCGCCCGUCUUG